GAUGAACGCUGGCGGCGUGCCUAAUACAUGCAAGUCGAGCGAACGGACGAGAAGCUUGCUUCUCUGAUGUUAGCGGCGGACGGGUGAGUAACACGUGGAUAACCUACCUAUAAGACUGGGAUAACUUCGGGAAACCGGAGCUAAUACCGGAUAAUAUUUUGAACCGCAUGGUUCAAAAGUGAAAGACGGUCUUGCUGUCACUUAUAGAUGGAUCCGCGCUGCAUUAGCUAGUUGGUAAGGUAACGGCUUACCAAGGCAACGAUGCAUAGCCGACCUGAGAGGGUGAUCCGCCACACGGGAACUGAGAAACGGUCCAGACUCCGACGGGGAGCAGCAGUAGGGAAUCCUACGCAAUGGGCGAAUGCCUGACGGAGCAACGCCGCGUGAAGGAUGAAGGACUUCGGAUCGUAAAACUCUGUUAUUAGGGAAGAACAUAUGUGUAAGUAACUGUGCACAUCUUGACGGUACCUAAUCAGAAAGCCACGGCUAACUACGUG
rnacentral:rRNA from 1 species